GCUGCAGGUCCCCGGGCGCGGCCCGUUCCCCGCGCGGCUCGAGGCCCAGGGGCGGCGUGGCCCGGCCCGCACUCCGAGUCCGUGCUGUGGGAGCUCUUGGCCUGUGGGUGGACGGAAACCAAGAGACGCGACUUUGCCCUGACCCGGACCACCGCGGGGCCUCUGGAGCAAGGAGCUGUUUAGAAAAAAGGAAUUUUAAAUGGAGACCUAGUCCAUUCCCUGCAGUACCUCUGGAUAGCAGCUAACACACCUUUGGCAAACUACAAAAUAGUAUUGUGAUUUUCAAGUCUGUCAAUGGAAUAAAAAGGAAUUGUCAGUUGUCAAUAGACCUCUUGCUAAAAUUUGUAAAUUUCAGAAAAUUUAUCCAUCCAUUAUAACUAUUAAUAUAAUGGACCCCUGAAUCCAUGUAACAUUCUUUUGGCACCUGAUUACUGAAUACAAAAGAGAAAACUAUGCAGAUGAAUCCAAUGAAAGUAUCAUAGAGUCAUAGUUUUCAACCUGUUCUUGGGUUCCUAACCUUUCUAGCAAUCUUUCUCUGUUUUGCUAGUCACCUUUAGAGAAAGUAUUGAUAGUAGCCAUUUAAAACUUUUACUCUUCCCAAAC
rnacentral:lncRNA from 1 species